rnacentral:piRNA from 1 species
UCUGAUGAUCUGGUCUUCUAAUGGUCAGU